rnacentral:snoRNA from 1 species
GGUAUUCAUGAUGAUUAAAUUUAACCAUUAAAAUUGAUGUUUAAAUGAAAUCAUAUCAAUUUCUCAUGCAUCACCAUCUGAAAUACC